rnacentral:lncRNA from 1 species
GUUUUUCAAGUUUUUUUAAUUGUUAUAGAGUUAGAGUUGUGAUGAUGAAUUGUGUAUGCAUUGUUCUCCACUUAUAAAGUACUAAACUGUGUUAAUAAUGUGAUUGAUAUAGUUCGUGUUGUUGUUUGUUGUGUCACUGAAACUUAUUGUUUGUUUGUCUUUUUAAUUUGUUUCUUGUACUGUUGAGAGUACAUAAAUUAUAUUAAAGUUAUUUUGUUUCUGGAUAUUUUUUCCAGUUUAGUUGUGUAAGUUGUGUGUAUUAAGUAAUAAUUUUUAUUAUCCUUAUUAUGUUUGUUAUAUGUUUUUAUUUUAUUUUUUACACUUGUUGCUCUUACCGGACCUUUAAAACAAAUACAUGAAGACUUGUAGAAAUAACUAUAAAAUGAUUGAUAGUUCUGAGUAUUUGGGCUUUAAUGAGUUUUAAACGAAUUUAUGUAUUUCUCUUAAGAAGACAAUAGCAUUGACAUGUUGACAUUGGGCAUGUAAGCCAUUUUUAUAAGACAAGAGGAGUGAGCAGGUGGAGAUGUUAUUGCCGUCUUUGUGUCUGUCGGGAUUGUCUCUUGUAUCUCAUGUUGUGGUUGUGUUUGUUUAUCUUUUAUUUGAUGGGUAAUAUGUAAACAAAAAUCAUUGUAUCUUCGUUACGAAAGUACGUUUGUAAAUUGUUAAAUAGCUGGCCGUGUAGUUUGUAUUUGUUUAUCUGACUCGAUGUAUGUGUCGUUGUGAAAGUAAGUUUGUAAAUUGUUAAAUAGCUGGCUGUGUAGUUUGUAUUUGUUUAGCUGACUCGAUUUAUGUGUCGUUGAGUAUUAGUUGAGGUGAUUGGUUUGGUAUAUUUGUUUUGAAGUUUAUUUCUAAGAUUAGACAAAAAAAAAAGAGAGGUGAUCAUUAAUGAUUCGU